rnacentral:rRNA from 1 species
GACGAACGCUGGCGGCGUGCUUAACACAUGCAAGUCGAACGGAAAGGCCCCUUUGGGGGUACUCGAGUGGCGAACGGGUGAGUAACACGUGAGUAACCUGCCCUUGACUUCGGGAUAACUUCAGGAAACUGGGGCUAAUACCGGAUAGGAAUCCUUGCUGCAUGGUGGGGGUUGGAAAGCUUCGGCGGUUUUGGAUGGACUCGCGGCUUAUCAGCUUGUUGGUGGGGUAGUGGCUUACCAAGGCUUUGACGGGUAGCCGGCCUGAGAGGGCGAACGGCCACAUUGGGACUGAGAUACGGCCCAGACUCCUACGGGAGGCAGCAGUGGGGAAUAUUGCACAAUGGGCGGAAGCCUGAUGCAGCAACGCCGCGUGCGGGAUGACGGCCUUCGGGUUGUAAACCGCUUUCAGCAGGGGCGAAGCUUGUGGUGACGGUACCUGCAGAAGAAGCACCGGCUAACUACGUG